ensembl:lncRNA novel transcript
ACCUGUAAGCUGGAACUUCCUUACGGCAGCCUGUCACUUCCACGGGACCCACCAGCUUAAAUGCCGGCAGCCCUGGGACUUCUGGCCUCACAAUGGUUGAGGAGAAGGGCAUGCUCAGGCCAGCCCAUUAGCCCAGGAGGAGGACAAGAAACACACGGAGCAGACACAAGCCACCUCACCAACCCAGCCAAGGCUGUCCUGAAUUAGCAACCCUGACACGUGUGAGCAAGUCCAACGGACACCGGAAGAUCCACCUAGUCAAGCCCAACCAAGACUGGCAGAGCUGCCAAGCUGACCACUUAAGGCGCAUGAGGAAUAAACACUCGUUGCUGCAUGC